rnacentral:rRNA from 1 species
AUUGAACGCUGGCGGCAGGCCUAACACAUGCGAGUCGAGCGCCCCGCAAGGGGAGCGGCAGACGGGUGAGUAACGCGUGGGAAUCUACCCAUCCCUACGGAACAACUCCGGGAAACGGGAGCUAAUACCGUAUACGCCCUUCGGGGGAAAGAUUUAUCGGGGAUGGAUGAGCCCGCGUUGGAUAAGCUAGUUGGUGGGGUAAUGGCCUACCAAGGCGACGAUCCAUAGCUGGUCUGAGAGGAUGAUCAGCCACACUGGGACUGAGACACGGCCCAGACUCCUACGGGAGGCAGCAGUGGGGAAUAUUGGACAAUGGGCGAAAGCCUGAUCCAGCCAUGCCGCGUGAGUGAUGAAGGCCCUAGGGUUGUAAAGCUCUUUCACCGGUGAAGAUAAUGACGGUAACCGGAGAAGAAGCCCCGGCUGACUUCGUGCCAGCCGCCGCGGUAAUAC